rnacentral:rRNA from 1 species
CAGUCGCCGCGGGAAUACGAAGGGUGCAAGCGUUACUCGGAAUUACUGGGCGUAAAGCGUGCGUAGGUGGUGGUUUAAGUCCGUUGUGAAAGCCCUGGGCUCAACCUGGGAAUUGCAGUGGAUACUGGGUCACUAGAGUGUUGUAGAGGAUAGUGGAAUUUCCGGUGUAGCAGUGAAAUGCGUAGAGAUCGGAAGGAACAUCUGUGGCGAAGGCGACUAUCUGGGCCAACACUGACACUGAGGCACGAAAGCGUGGGGAGCAAACAGGAUUAGAUACCCCCGUAGUCCCUGUCUCUUAUAC